AUGAAAGUUUCAUGAAAACAGGGCCAAUAAUAUAAAAGUUUUAUUGUUGCAUUGUUGCCUCAUCGAUAUCCUAUCUUGGAUCGAGUAAUGUUGCUCGCCAUUAUCUGUGUAGUCGGUAGUAGAUGCUCAAUAAAGAAAAACUACGUAAUUGUUUUAUCGUAGAUCCUAAGAUAUCAUCAAAGUGCUAAAAUAUCACUACCGAAAUACUCGAUAAUUCUACAAAAAUCAGAACUCAAAUAUUGCAUUAAUGAAGAUGUAGAAACGAUUCUAUUUCUGGAAAUUGAGAUCUUAGACGUGUAGAAAAGGAUAAUUCGAGUGAAAGAGAAAGCGAGAAUCGAAGCGAUCGACAAAUAUUAAAGCAUUGCGAUAAGUUGACUUUUAACUCAAAAAUCAAACUUUUUUAUUUUAAUUUUUGAUCAAUAAAACUUUUACCAACAUGCUUCCUAUAUUUUUCUAUUAAAAUAACACCAAAUACGAUAUAAUUUGGUUUCAUUUUUAAAUUAAUACCCAGGUACAUUGUCUCAACGAUAUCCGACAUUGGAUCAUGUCAUACUACACGAUCGUGGCGGGCCGUCGAGUUUUUCGCCAGGGGAACCUUCUCUUCAUAGUGGGAAUGACGAGUGUGCAAUCAAGAUUCCUCUUUAGUUGUUAAAUAGUUUUUUGCAAAAACUAAUAAACAUUUGAACAUGA